CUUGCUCCCUGAUGUUAGCGGCGGACGGGUGAGUAACACGUGGGUAACCUGCCUGUAAGACUGGGAUAACUCCGGGAAACCGGGGCUAAUACCGGAUGGUUGUUUGAACCGCAUGGUUCAAACAUAAAAGGUGGCUUCGGCUACCACUUACAGAUGGACCCGCGGCGCAUUAUCUAUUUGGUGAGGUAACGGCUCACCAAGGCAACGAUGCGUAGCCGACCUGAGAGGGUGAUCGGCCACACUGGGACUG
rnacentral:rRNA from 1 species